CCAAUGUAGUGGGUCCAACCAGCAUUAAAAAAGAAAGAAAGAAAGAAAGAAAGAAAGAAUAGAAAAUAUCAGAGUACAUAACAAGUAGUAAAGGAAGUCACCAUCUUCGGUGGGGACCUUUCUCAGACAAUCUAUUCUUCCACAAUUCUCCUUGAGCAACCAAGAUAUUAACGGGGAAGACUUGAAGUUUCUAUGCUGCUUGAUCCAGAAUUUUCUCACCAUGGAUGUGGGGUUCUCACCUUUGAAGGUGGAAAGUGACACAACUGAAUGAUGAUUUUCUUGGUAACAUUUGGAAGGGCCACGAGAGCUGCUGGGAUUGGGCUUGCUGUGUUUCCUUGAUGAAUUUCACCUUUAAAGGAGCUUGCUGCAUGAGAGAGGCUGUCUUGCCUUUAAAUUCAUUCUUCAAGUUCGUCCCGGAGGGCAUCGUUUUUCCUGCCUUGAGGAAGCAACAACAAAUAACCCAGGAAAAACACUGCAUAAACAUGGCAUCCAAAGAGAGGAAGCAGAGACAUGAUGCACCAACUACUACUUUAGUAAUUGAAGAGAGAGAGAAGAGCCUGAAGUCAUUCAAUAAUUAGAUCAAAUAAUUUACUAAUGGAUCAUUUGUCUUCCCUUCCAAUCUUCCUUAGCAAGUUGGCUAAUUGCUCCAUGGUCACAAGAUAGCUGCUGAAUCUCUAGAAAUCAUUCCCAAGUCCCAUUCAGGAAGAAAAUAAAAGGGUGCAUUGGCUUUUUCUGUUUCCCUCUUCUCAGAACUCUCUCAGCAGACUUUCACUUACGUGUUAUAUAGUCCAGAACUGGAUGGCAUGGCUCCCCACCGUGUGCAAGGGAGAUUCAACAGGAUUUGGUUUUUCAGCCUCUGUUGGGAGAGACCAAGAGACAGAAGGAGACUGGGUAACACUGUCCACCGUAACCACUUAGUAUAGUGAUAACUCUGGGCAAAUAUUAAUUACUACUGGGCUAGUUGAAAGUUUCUGGGAAGCAAAUCAGUUGCUAAGCACAUGCUCUAUGAGAACCCAUAAUAUAAAUAAGAAGAAGAAAAAAGAAGGUUUAAAUGUUGGCUUACUUAGAGGAAUGCCUAGUUUCUUCUCUAUCACUGUGGUAACCACUAGGUUACAACUGUUACCUUUUCUCACAGAAAGACAAUUCCAAAACAGACCUCAAAUGAAAAUGCUACACAAAUAAUGGAUUAAUUGGGUACCAUUUCUACUCUUCUCAUCAUGUUUUACAAGCAGUUGAAAUAAUAUGUGCCCUUCCCAGUCCCUUUUUAGUAUUUGUCAGUAGAAUAGAGUGUCAAAAACGACUUACGAUGCCUAAAACAUUUAGAAAUUAAAAUAGCAUGUGGUGGUGCCAUGACCUUUUCAAUAUGCUGGUGUUUCAAUUGUUCAGCCAUUCCUCUUGUUCUUUUUCCUGACUGUUCUUUAUCAGAGGAAAAGGUAAAUUGGCACCUCAAGUAUGGAGUACUCAAAGGAACUAAACAGCACAUUAUUGAAACAAUUCAGAGGCAAUCCCGCAUAGCUUCCAAGUGCCAUGGAAACAAAAGAUGGUAACUUUAUUAAUUGUGAAAGGUUGGGGGAACGAAUUUAGUAUCUUGCUUUGCCAGUUUUCCUCUAGUGCACAGUAUAGUUUCCAGGACCUGCAUACAAACAUCAGUUCAUGAUCAAAAUGUGACCUUGCCUGUCCCGAUGAAUAAAACUAAUAAAUUCCCCAAUGAUAUGCUUAUUAUGCUUCUCUGAGGGAAGAUGGUUGCUUUCGUGUCAUUGUGGUUCCAUAAUAUCUCUUGGAAGGAGGCUUCUGAGGAUGCCCAAGCUGCUCCUCUGGGUUUCCCUAACACCCUGCAUGCGCUCAUCGUGUAGAAAUUGCCACAUAGCGUUACAGGUUUCUGUUCACUUAUUUCGUCUGCCCAGUGGGAAUGUGAUUUCCUGAAGAGCACCUAGCACAUGCCUAAAACACAAAAGGACUUCACUAAACAUUUGCUGAAUAACUACCACCUGUGCCAAGAAGCAGACCGGCUUCCGCUACAACUGACAGCCCUUCUCUCCUGCUAGUCAGAGAUUCUCUGUCUUGGAAGAGACUUUAGGAAACAGCAGACAUCUUGGAUGUGUGCCUGCCUGCAUUACCACCUUCUCCAGUUUUAUCCUAAAGCUGACUUCAGUACAGCUCUCCCCAAACUGUGGAAACUUUGGAUGACUACCUAAGAACUCCACAAACUCAAGCAGCUUUAAAGCCACUCUGCAACUUUCCUACAAUGAAAGAGGAGGCAGGUACCAUUCUCAGAUAAUACCGAUGAAUUCAGAAACCAAAAUAAAUCUGAAAAAAUGUAGUGCUUCACACUUACAUUUAUACCCUUCUCCCUUCUUGCUUUAUUCCCCAGAAGUGAGUAGCUCCUGAAACUGAUAGCCAAGAGAUGUUCAGGAAGAACCUGUCCCCAAACAGGUGUUUGCACACCCAAGUUAUGU
rnacentral:lncRNA from 1 species